CGUCCCAUCCAGAUGACCAUGGGGGCGAAUAUAAUUAUCAUUAAAGCUGUCAUCGGAGCCACAGUGGGAGCAGGUGAGUGUCUGGCACGGGAUGAGCAGCGCUCGGGUUCACUGCCCGGUCCCAGCCCCGU
rnacentral:lncRNA from 1 species